CAUUCUCUUGUUUUUUGGUGUUUAGAAUUGAUUCUACUUCUAGAACUUAUAGCUUCUCAAUUUAAACGUAAUUUUUAUAUCAAAGUUUAUUGCUCAACUCACUUUUACAUAAAUGUAUUCAAACAUAAAUCAAUUUUAUUAAAACCAAUUAUACAAAACUCAAUUCAAUCAAAAUCAAUUUUGACUACUGUCAAUCCAAACACAAUAGUUUGUACCACACGACCCUGCAUGAUUGAAUCUUUUUAUAUGAAAAAUAUUCUGUGCUAUAUAUUUUCAGUGAGGGGCAUUCAUUCAAACUAUUUUACAAAUGUGAGGGGCAUUCAUUGUUAUUAUUUUCAGUAA